AUACUCAAACACAUCUAUAUAAUGGUUAGUAAAUAGGCAUAGAAAGUCAUAAUAGAAAUUCCUCAUAAAUUUUUUUUUUUAAAAAAAAAGUAAAACAAAAAAAAAAGUGAUUGUAGAAUAUAUUUUAGUAUUCAAAAGUAAGAAAUAUAGUGCUUGAUUUCACUUGUUUUACCUCUACAACGUGGUGUGCACCCCAAAGAGGAAGGCAUGAUUACUUCUAAGAUGGCAAUUAAGGAGAUGAGAUGAGUGCCUAAGAAAAUAAUUCGGCAAAGGAGAGAGGAGGUGACUAUGGCACAGUUGGAGGACUUACUCAAUCAAAUGGAUGAAAAAGGCCAACAUGACGUUAAGUACCUAAUUGGAACUCAUUAUGUUCUACAACGUCAAAAAUUGAUGUUACAAGGACACCAACUAAGUACUUUAACUCGCCUUGGGUUUGGUGCUGUCGGAGGUAUUACUUGUCAUCUCGAGUAUCCAUUCUUAACACCUAUGUCACUCGGGAAGGCUAGAGAGUUUAGGAAAGAGGCCUAUUGUUACAUUUUUACCUCCUAAAUUAUUGCAAGACAUGCUUUAGCUUUAACCUAGCUCACCUAAGACGCACUUUACUUAAUUGCUCUAUUUUUCCCCACUUUUAUCGUUUCCUUAGAAGGGUAUUUGAGUUCUUCAUGCCAUUGGAGAAUUGGCUACUCAUGGUACAAGAAAAUAUAGAAGAAAACAAAAAUGAUCGUAGUGUCUGGGGUUUGUUAGUGUUGGGUAGGAAAUUCUUUGACCCCACAAAACACCUUGAAAGUCCCAUCUUAACUAUGGAGUGGGUUGGCUUCUCUCAUGAUGAUUUAUCUAAAACAUAUCGCUUAAGCAGCUUUGGAUAUGAGCAAAAAUAUGUUCAGUUUAAGUCUAUGAUGUUACAAAAAAAUGGUUAUGACCCUAGUGCCCAUCUUGCUCUUUGCACUGCCAACCCCUUCAAAAAUAGUGACUACCCAGAUGAGUACAAAAUAAUGUUGGAAUUUGCUGGAAAGGUAUGGACAAGGAAUUUUUUUUUUUUAGAGCAGUUGGGAGCCAACUUCGGCGGAUGAAUGGAAUGGUGAAGAUGAGGGAUAUGUGACCCCUGAAUCAAAUGAAGAUUGGGAUUGGGAACAAGGCGAUGAUGUUGCAUCAAGUCAAGAAGACGAAAGCGAAGAUGAUAGUGAAAACGACAAUGAUGUGUCAAGUGACGGAAGCGAAGUCUAGAGUAUGUUAGGUUUGGAUAUUAAUUCGGGUUUUGAAGUUUCUCUUGUUUAAAUUAAAGCAAUGACAGUGUUAAAUUAUGCUUCUACGAGGAAGUUCUAAAUUAAGGGUGUACUUAUGGUUAUCGGGGUCUAUUAAUGUAGGUUAUUAUUGUCUGAAGUAUUCUAUAGAGUAAGGGUAGUUUUCUAUGAAUUAAGGGUGUACUUAUUGGUGCAUAUAAGGGCAACCAAAAAUGUAUUUCGUUCUUCUUGUUAUUAAAUUAUUAUUAAAUUAUUAAUGGUUUUCUUA